rnacentral:rRNA from 1 species
GAUGAACGCUGGCGGCGUGCCUAAUACAUGCAAGUCGAGCGAACGGACGAGAAGCUUGCUUUUCUGAUGUUAGCGGCGGACGGGUGAGUAACACGUGGAUAACCUACCUAUAAGACUGGGAUAACUUCGGGAAACCGGAGCUAAUACCGGAUAAUAUUUUGAACCGCAUGGUUCAAAAGUGAAAGACGGUCUUGCUGUCACUUAUAGAUGGAUCCGCGCUGCAUUAGCUAGUUGGUAAGGUAACGGCUUACCAAGGCAACGAUGCAUAGCCGACCUGAGAGGGUGAUCGGCCACACUGGAGCUGAGACACGGUCAAGACUCCUACGGGAGGCAGCAGUAGGGAAUCGUCCGCAAUGGGCGAGAGCCUGACGGAGCAACGCCGCGUGAGUGAUGAAGGUCUUCGGAUCGUAAAACUCUGUUAUGAGGGAAGAACAUAUGUGUAAGUAACUGUGCACAUCUUGACGGUACCUAAUCAGAAAGCCACGGCUAACUACGUG